rnacentral:rRNA from 1 species
CACGUAGGGGGCAAGCGUUGUUCGGAAUUAUUGGGCGUAAAGGGCAUGUAGGCGGUUUCGUAAGCCUGGUGUGAAAUCCUGCAGCUUAACUGCAGAAUUGCAUUGGGUACUGCGAGACUUGAAUCACAGAGGGGAAACUAGAAUUCCAGGUGUAGGGGUGGAAUCUGUAGAUAUCUGGAAGAAUACCGGUGGCGAAGGCGGGUUUCUAGCUGAUGAUUGACGCUGAGGUGCGAAAGUGCGGGGAGCAAACAGGAUUAGAUACCCUGGUAGUCCGCACCGUAAACUAUGUACACUAGGUGUAGGGGCAUGAGUCUCUGUGCCGAAGCUAACGUGAUAAGUGUACCGCCUGGGAAGUAUGCCCGCAAGGGUGAAACUCAAAGGAAUUGACGGGGGCCCGCACAAGCGGUGGAGCAUGUGGUUUAAUUCGAUGGUACGCGAGGAACCUUACCUGGGUUUGACAUCAAGUGGAAUGGUAUAGAGAUAUGCCAGCGUAGCAAUACGCCGCUUGACAGGUGCUGCAUGGCU